UACGAAGGGGGCUAGCGUUGCUCGGAAUUACUGGGCGUAAAGCGCACGUAGGCGGCUCUUUAAGUCGGGGGUGAAAUCCUGGAGCUCAACUCCAGAACUGCCUUCGAUACUGAAGAGCUCGAGUCCGGGAGAAGUGAGUGGAACUGCGAGUGUAGAGGUGAAAUUCGUAGAUAUUCGCAAGAACACCAGUGGCGAAGGCGGCUCACUGGCCCGGUACUGACGCUGAGGUGCGAGAGCGUGGGGAGCAAACAGG
rnacentral:rRNA from 1 species